UAACUUGUUAUACAAUUAUACAUUUUUUUUGUUUUUCUACUAAAAUGACUUUUUAAUUAUUGACGGUUCAUACUUAACAAGCAACUGAGUCACAAACA
rnacentral:sRNA from 1 species